rnacentral:misc_RNA from 1 species
GGCAGGGUCAGAUGUGUAUAAGAGACAGGUGAAUCAUCGAAUCUUUGAACGCACAUUGCGCCCCUUGGUAUUCCGGGGGGCAUGCCUGUUCGAGCGUCAUUAUAACCCUCAAGCCUAGCUUGGUGUUGGGGCAUGCUUCUGCAGCCCUUAAAAUCAGUGGCAGUGCCUGUUGGCUCUAAGCGUAGUAAUACUCCUCGCUAUAGAACCCAGUGGAUACGCGCCAGAACCCCAAAUUUUCUAUGGUUGACCUCGGAUCAGGUAGGGAUACCCGCUGAACUUAAGCAUAUCAAUAAGCGGAGG